rnacentral:rRNA from 1 species
UGACUGGUAGAGUAUACCAAGGCGCUUGAGAGAACUAUACUGAAGGAACUCGGCAAAUUGCAUGCGUAACUUCGGGAUAAGCAUGACUUCUACGGAGGCAACUCUGUAGGAGUGGCACAAAAGAGGGGGUGGCGACUGUUUACUAAAAACACAGGGCUCUGCGAAGUUGCAAAACGACGUAUAGGGUCUGACGCCUGCCCGGUGCCGGAAGGUUAAAUGGAGGGGUUAACGCCCUGAAAUGAAGCCCCGGUAAACGGCGGCCGUAACAAUAACGGUCCUAAGGUAGCGAAAUUCCUUGUCGGGUAAGUUCCGACCUGCACGAAUGGCGUAACGACUUCCCCACUGUCUCCAGUAUAGACUCAGCGAAAUUGAAUUCCCCGUGAAGAUGCGGGGUUCCUGCGGUCAGACGGAAAGACCCCAUGCACCUUUACUAUAGCUUUACGCUGGCAUUUGUGUCGGCAUGUGCAGGAUAGGUGGUAGGCUUUGAAGCAGGGACGCUAGUUUCUGUGGAGCCGCAAGAUGAGAUACCACCCUUAUCGUCAUAGAUGUCUAACCGCGGCAUAACAGUGUCCGGGACAGCGUAUGGUGGGUAGUUUGACUGGGGCGGUCGCCUCCCUAAGAGUAACGGAGGCGCGCGAUGGUGGGCUCAGACCGGUCGGAAAUCGGUCGACGAGUGCAAUGGCAUAAGCCUGCCUGACUGCGAGACUGACAAGUCGAGCAGAGACGAAAGUCGGUCAUAGUGAUCCGGUGGUCCCGCGUGGAAGGGCCAUCGCUCAACGAAUAAAAGGUACGCUGGGGAUAACAGGCUGAUAAUGCCCAAGAGUCCAUAUCGACGGCAUUGUUUGGCACCUCGAUGUCGGCUCAUCACAUCCUGGGGCUGGAGCAGGUCCCAAGGGUAUGGCUGUUCGCCAUUUAAAGUGGUACGUGAGCUGGGUUUAGAACGUCGUGAGACAGUUCGGUCCCUAUCUGCCGUGGGUGUAGGAAUAUUGAGAAGAGCUGACCCUAGUACGAGAGGACCGGGUUGGACGAACCUCUGGUGGACCUGUUGUGGCGCCAGCCGCAUUGCAGGGUAGCUAAGUUCGGACGGGAUAACUGCUGAAAGCAUCUAAGCAGGUAGCCUCCUUCAAAACUAGUAUUCCCUUGAGAGCCGUGGAAGACCACCACGUCGAUAGGCCGGGUGUGGAAGCGCAGCAAUGUGUGAAGCUUACCGGUACUAAUAGCAC